rnacentral:sRNA from 12 species
AGGCGUUUUAAAGCAGUGUGUCGAAUCUGGAAGUGCGGUGCUCUGCAUAGUCUUCGAUGGUUCUCCAAGCAUGCCAGAAGCCAGAUGUAGGUUGAUUUCAACCGAAGGAAAAUGGAAGAU